UACGAAGGGGGCUAGCGUUGUUCGGAAUGACUGGGCGUAAAGGGCGCGUAGGCGGCUUUUUAAGUCAGGCGUGAAAGCCCUGGGCUCAACUUAGGAACGGCGCUUGAUACUGGGAGACUAGAGGACGGGAGAGGAUGGGGGAAUUCCCAGUGUAGAGGUGAAAUUCGUAGAUAUUGGGAAGAACACCGGUGGCGAAGGCGGCCAUCUGGACCGUUACUGACGCUGAGGCGCGAAAGCGUGGGGAGCAAACAGG
rnacentral:rRNA from 1 species